UACGAAGGGUGCAAGCGUUACUCGGAAUUACUGGGCGUAAAGCGUGCGUAGGUGGUUUGUUAAGUCUGAUGUGAAAGCCCUGGGCUCAACCUGGGAAUUGCAUUGGAUACUGGCAGGCUAGAGUGCGGUAGAGGAUGGCGGAAUUCCCGGUGUAGCAGUGAAAUGCGUAGAGAUCGGGAGGAACAUCUGUGGCGAAGGCGGCCAUCUAGACCAGCACUGACACUGAGGCACGAAAGCGUGGGGAGCAAACAGG
rnacentral:rRNA from 1 species